UAAGCAUAUCAAUAAGCGGAGGAAAAGAAACUAACAAGGAUUCCCCUAGUAACUGCGAGUGAAGCGGGAAAAGCUCAAAUUUAAAAUCUGACGGUCUUUUGGCUGUCCGAGUUGUAAUCUAGAGAAGCAUUAUCCGCGCUGGACCGUGUACAAGUCUCCUGGAAUGGAGCGUCAUAGAGGGUGAGAAUCCCGUCUUUGACACGGACUGCCAGGGCUUUUGUGAUGUGCUCUCAAAGAGUCGAGUUGUUUGGGAAUGCAGCUCAAAAUGGGUGGUAAAUUCCAUCUAAAGCUAAAUAUUGGCGAGAGACCGAUAGCGAACAAGUACCGUGAGGGAAAGAUGAAAAGAACUUUGGAAAGAGAGUUAAACAGUACGUGAAAUUGCUGAAAGGGAAACGCUUGAAGUCAGUCACGUUAGCCAGGGAUCAGCCUUGCUUUUGCUUGGUGUAAUUUCUGGUUGACGGGUCAGCAUCAAUUUUGACUAUUGGAAAAAGAUCAGGGGAAUGUAGCAUCUUCGGAUGUGUUAUAGCCCUUGGUUGUAUACAAUGGUUGGGAUUGAGGAACUCAGCACGCCGCAAGGCCGGGUUUUUUUUAAACCACGUACGUGCUUAGGAUGUUGGCAUAAUGGCUUUAAUCGACCCGUCUUGAAACACGGACCAAGGAGUCUAACAUGCCUGCGAGUGUUUGGGUGGAAAACCCGAGCGCGUAAUGAAAGUGAAAGUUGAGAUCCCUGUCGUGGGGAGCAUCGACGCCUGGACCAGACCUUUUGUGACGGUUCCACGGUAGAGCAUGUAUGUUGGGACCCGAAAGAUGGUGAACUAUGCCUGAAUAGGGUGAAGCCAGAGGAAACUCUGGUGGAGGCUCGUAGCGAUUCUGACGUGCAAAUCGAUCGUCAAAUUUGGGUAUAGGGGCGAAAGACUAAUCGAACCAUCUAGUAAGCUGGUUCCUGCCGA
rnacentral:rRNA from 2 species